UGAGAUAUCCCUCCUUCGGGAGUAAGACCCCUUGAAGACUACAAGGUAGAUAGGGCAGAGGUGGAAGUGUGGCAACACAUGGAGCUGACUGUUACUAAUCGGUCGAGGGCUUAAUCAAG
rnacentral:rRNA from 1 species